ACGCACGCUGGCGGCGUGCUUCACCCCUGCCAGUCGCACGGAAAGGCCCUGCUUUUGUGGGGUGCUCGAGUGGCGAACGGGUGAGUAACACGUGAGUAACCUGCCCUUGACUUUGGGAUAACUUCAGGAAACUGGGGCUAAUACCGGAUAAGAGCUCCUGCUGCAUGGUGGGGGUUGGAAAGUUUCGGCGGUUGGGGAUGGACUCGCGGCUUAUCAGCUUGUUGGUGGGGUAGUGGCUUACCAAGGCUUUGACGGGUAGCCGGCCUGAGAGGGUGACCGGCCACAUUGGGACUGAGAUACGGCCCAGACUCCUACGGGAGGCAGCAGUGGGGAAUAUUGCACAAUGGGCGGAAGCCUGAUGCAGCAACGCCGCGUGCGGGAUGACGGCCUUCGGGUUGUAAACCGCUUUCGCCUGUGACGAAGCGUGAGUGACGGUAAUGGGUAAAGAAGCACCGGCUAACUACGUG
rnacentral:rRNA from 1 species